GGGGUUGUGGCUCAGCAGUAGAGCAAUCACCUUGCAUGUGCAAGACCUGGGUUCAAUCCCCAGCACCACCU
rfam:Ictidomys tridecemlineatus contig003329, whole genome shotgun sequence.